AGAGUUUGAUCAUGGCUCAGAACGAACGCUGGCGGCAGGCUUAACACAUGCAAGUCGAACGCGUGUAGCAAUACACGAGUGGCGCACGGGUGAGUAACGCGUGGAUAUCUGCCUUUUGGUUCGGAAUAACCCCGGGAAACUGGGGCUAAUACCGGAUGGUUCCUUCGGGAUAAAGAUUUAUCGCCAAAAGAUGAGUCCGCGUACGAUUAGCUAGUUGGUGAGGUAAUGGCUCACCAAGGCGACGAUCGUUAGCUGGUCUGAGAGGACGAUCAGCCACACUGGGACUGAGACACGGCCCAGACUCCUACGGGAGGCAGCAGUGGGGAAUAUUGGACAAUGGGGGCAACCCUGAUCCAGCCAUGCCGCGUGAGUGAUGAAGGCCUUCGGGUUGUAAAGCUCUUUUGGCGGGGACGAUGAUGACGGUACCCGCAGAAUAAGCCCCGGCUAACUUCGUGCCAGCAGCCGCGGUAAGACGAAGGGGGCUAGCGUUGUUCGGAAUUACUGGGCGUAAAGCGCGUGUAGGCGGUUUUCCAAGUUGGGUGUGAAAGCCUUGGGCUUAACCCAAGAAAUGCACUCAGUACUGGAAGACUAGAGGACCGGAGAGGAUAGUGGAAUUCCCAGUGUAGUGGUGAAAUACGUAGAGAUUGGGAAGAACACCAGUGGCGAAGGCGGCUAUCUGGACGGUUUCUGACGCUAAGACGCGAAAGCGUGGGGAGCAAACAGGAUUAGAUACCCUAGUAGUCC
rnacentral:rRNA from 1 species